rnacentral:lncRNA from 1 species
AUGGAGAAAACUCCAUCAGUGUGGGUAUGGCACCCUCAGGAUCUAAGCUGUCUAAACUUGCAGGCUGGUUUCACUAGCUUAGGGCAUCCCAGAGCUAAUGUUUAUAAGCCAAGGGCCAAAUUAAAGCAAGAAAGAAUCAUAUCAAUGUCGAGGCUGAGAAAGUUCACGGGGGCAGGAAGGAGGCCCUGGAGAAGGAGGCAAGGAAAGCAAGAGGAAAGGGAUCCAUCUUCUUCUCCCUCCCACUACCAACCCCAACCUGGAGUCCCAGAAACACUAUGCAGAGCCCACCUAGUACCCCUCAAUGUAUGUUCAUCUUCUUUGAUAAUAGAACCUCAAACGUCAGCUGGCUACACGGCUUCAAACAACAAAAGACUACAUUUCCCAGCUUUCCCUGCAGCAAGGUACCUGGAGUCAGUCCUGCAGAGUGAAUGUCUGAGAUCAUCUCUGGCACCACAGGCCAGGACCCGGUGGCCAGCAGACAUGUGUCAAAGCCCAGCCCCACUCCCAAGAGGUCCCCAUAACUGUGGUCACUGUAUGCUGCAUCUACAGGAGACAGUCCCACUUCAGACUUCCCAACCAUCAUGGGAGAACUUGUGAUUAAAACUGAUUUGUGGAGGUUGGAAGGCUUCGCAUGAAAAUCUCAGUGGUGAGACUGCUGGACUCGGGCAAAAAUGCAAGGCCAUCAUUUAACUGUUUGGGUAAAACACAACGACUGCUAUGAAAUUUUAAUUAAAUUCUUAUUUGUGUUAAAUAAUUCAGCACUGACUGCCCAGGCCUGUCUCUGGAAGGGAAGCCAGGGCUUGCCCACUCCAGCGGAAAACCAUAAAUGUCAGAGUUGCUCCAUAUGGGGUGAAUAUGGGCCUUCCCCAUUGCCAGCCCUGGUGAUAACCUUCCUUCCCGGGGAAGUCAACUUCUCUGUCACCUGGCAAAGUGAGCAGGCUGGAGGAGCAGCUGGGGCCAACCCACAGAAGAACUCUGGGGCUGGCAAUUGUAGAAAGACCGUGGAGUUCAGGGUCCAGCAGAACAAAGCAUGAAUCCUGAGUCUACAACUCACCUGCUGCAAGAUCUCAGCACAUCACUCCAUCUAUUUGAGUCCCAUUUCUGCACCUGCAAAGCAGGACUACCACUCCCAUCUAUACAGAAAUGCCAAUUAUUUUUUUUCCUGCACAUUUCUUCUUACCAGCUCAAAGCCUGUCAAGAAUCUUCUCCAAUCCCCUCCAAUCUUCUCCACUCCCCAAUCUUUAGCAGGCCUGGAAUGAACAGCUCAUGCAAGCUGGAAAAAUCAGAUCCUCUGUCCUGGGAAUUUCAGUUUGCAACAGAGAGGAAGAGUUAAACAUCUGGAGAGAAUCAAAUCAAUCAGCCCCCCAGUAGAGGCCAUUAUUAUCUUGGGUCACCAGCAGAGAAGUAAGUCUACUAGGAAAUUCAGAAGAUAGGCAAAAGGAACAGAGAUGAGUCAUCCUGCGGACCCAGUGAGUGGGAAGGCACAGAGAAGUCAGAGUCAGAGAGGGUCUCUCCCGGGUGAAUUGCAGGUCCCAGGAUACCUGGUGGGCUCCUACAUUGGGAUCAAGGCAUCCUAACCCUAUUUCUACCUGAGUUCCUUUCUAUGGGUUUGCUAACUAGUUGGGAUUCAUUUCUGGGUCCAGCAAAAAGAGGAUUAAUCCAAUGAUUGGUGCACUAGGAGCUUGCAAGGUUAGAGUAGAGUUAGGAACAACUUACUGGGGUCUCCAGUGAUGGCAUCAAGAGCAGAAUUCUAUUUCUCCUUCCAUAUGUUGUCUCCAUUGUCAGGCUACACCUGAGAUACAGGCAGAGCAGCUGGGGCCAACCCUACUCAACCCUACACCUACUCAGAUGUAACUCCUGCUACACCUGAGUAGCAACUGCUCUAAAUAAACUUCUGGGUUCAAGUACA